AUACAAGACCCAAUAGGGUAAAUAGCUAAUAUCCGUACCCGCCCCGAACCGGUUUUUUCGGGUCGGUUUCGGUUCGGAUACUCGGGUACGGUUUUUUUGCCUAGGCCUACCCAUCUCUUUCACUUCUUCUUUCACGCAACACACAAGCUGAUCUCUGUUUCUAUCUCUCACUCAGACUCCUUCCUCCAUCUCUAUCUUGAUCUCUCAAUCACAGUCCCGUUCAUCUUACUUUCAAUCUCAAUCUCUAUCGGUCUCCAUUUCGUUCCCUCUCAAUCUCAGUCUUGUUUUCGAUAUCUGUCUUGAUAUCCUUCUCGCAGUUUCGUUCCCUAUUAAUCAUCGUCAUCUACAUUGGUAAAUCGAAGUGGUAUGGUCAAAUUUGACAUUGAAGCAGUCAGAGGUCGGUGAGACUUCAGAUAAAGUUGAAUUUCGUGCUUAGAAGAACUAACAGAUAAGUCUUCAAAUCUACAAUUUUAUUGCUACUGCCGCUUGUUUCUACAUUUGUAUACUCGGUGGAGCUUUGGUUGUAUUGUUAUGAUAUGGACAAGGCAUGUGUUUGAGAGCUAGUGUCCUUUAAAGGUUAAGGAUGAUGUUAUGCUUGAAUUCGCAUAGAAGAGAACACCGAGUUUUGUGGUUCGUCAAUGUAUUCCGAAAAUGAGCAGGUCUAUGUUUCUAGUCUUUCGUUGCUACCAUUGGUUUUCUCUCUCUUGCACUUGAUGUUACUUCUGACAUAAAAUUUGGACAAUCUUUUACCUUAUGUUUUCAGGACAUGGUGCUUCUACAUCACAAAUUAGAGGUGGAACUCCCUAAAAGCAAAUGUACAGAGAAACCCAGUGCGACUCUUUUGGAAUUCGGGGACGUCUAGAACGGACAAGCAAGGACCGCUAUGGCCAAGACUGUCGGGAUCCAUGCAGCCAUUGGAGCUCUGGUCCUUAUUACUUUUUCCUGUCUUUACUUCUCUAAGUUACAAAUUUUAAGCUUAUGAUUCAGAUGUUGGGUGUUGCAGCUGUUAAUUGAAGACAAGAUCAAGCCAAGAGGAGUCUUAAGGCCUCUUGAACCAGAGGUCUAUUUGCCAUGUAUCUUUGAAUUCCACAUAAAAAAAAACUGUGAUGUGUUUGCAGAUGAAAAGGAUGAUGAUGAUUUGUUGUGUUUGGGAUAUGUGGUGGUACGUACAACUUUGAAUAUAUUGCAAGCAUAUGGUAUAAAGCUGAUGGAUACAAAAGACAUUCGACCAGAAAAACAAUAAGAAGGAAGAAGAUUAGAGAGAAAUUAUGUGUAUCUAUGUUUAUAUAUGUGAACUCGUGUCCACAAAUCUAAAUGCAUGUAUAGUAAAUGAUCA